GCCGUCGUAGCUCAGUUGGUAGUAGCAGUAGACUGAAAAUCUAUGUGUCGGUGGUUCGAUUCCACUCGUCGGCA
rnacentral:tRNA from 1 species